AUGCAUCCCCACGAAACUCCUCACCAUUACAAUCACUUAGCAAAUCUAGCUAUCUCAUCAUCUCUGCCUGAGCUCACUACCACUACUAUUGCUAGCUUGAUCGAGAUGGCCCGUUCUGCUCUUGCUCAGGUCGUGCUCGUCGCCGUGGUGGCUGCUAUGCUCCUCGCAGUCACGGAGGCGGCUGUAUCGUGCGGUCAGGUGAGCUCUGCCUUGAGCCCCUGCAUCUCCUAUGCACGCGGCAACGGCGCCAGCCCAUCUGCGGCCUGCUGCAGCGGCGUUAGGAGUCUAGCCAGCUCAGCCCGGAGCACCGCUGACAAGCAAGCGGCGUGCAAGUGCAUCAAGAGCGCUGCUGCUGGGCUCAACGCUGGCAAGGCCGCCGGCAUCCCCACAAAGUGCGGCGUUAGCGUCCCUUACGCCAUCAGCUCUUCGGUCGACUGCUCUAAGAUUCGCUGA
rnacentral:rRNA from 1 species